rnacentral:rRNA from 1 species
AAUAGAUACCCUGGUAGUCCACGCCGUAAACGAUGAGUGCUAAGUGUUAGAGGGUUUCCGCCCUUUAGUGCUGCAGCUAACGCAUUAAGCACUCCGCCUGGGGAGUACGGCCGCAAGGCUGAAACUCAAAGGAAUUGACGGGGGCCCGCACAAGCGGUGGAGCAUGUGGUUUAAUUCGAAGCAACGCGAAGAACCUUACCAGGUCUUGACAUCCUCUGCCAACCCUAGAGAUAGGGCGUUCCCCUUCGGGGGACAGAGUGACAGGUGGUGCAUGGUUGUCGUCAGCUCGUGUCGUGAGAUGUUGGGUUAAGUCCCGCAACGAGCGCAACCCUUGAUCUUAGUUGCCAGCAUUCAGUUGGGCACUCUAAGGUGACUGCCGGUGACAAACCGGAGGAAGGUGGGGAUGACGUCAAAUCAUCAUGCCCCUUAUGACCUGGGCUACACACGUGCUACAAUGGAUGGUACAAAGAGUAGCGAACCCGCGAGGGUAAGCCAAUCUCAUAAAAGCCAUUCUCAGUUCGGAUUGUAGG